GGAUGUGAGAGCUAUCUGGCUGUGACAUCUGUUACCCCAUUGAUCGCCAGGGUUGAUUCGGCUGAUCUGGCUGGCUAGGCAGGUGUCCCCUUCCACCCUCAACGCUCCGUGUGUGUCCCUCCCAAAGCUGCGCGCUAGGUCCAAGAGGAUGACCAUCCCAGAUAGAGGAGGACCGUUCCUUGGUCAAGGGUAUACAAAUAGCUGCACUCCCCUGCUAGAACCUCCAAACAAGCUCUCAAGGCAUAUUUUACUAACAUAAUGGUCUCUAGUUCCAUCCCUGUUGUUGCAAAUGACAAGAUUUUGAUCCUUUUUA
rnacentral:snRNA from 1 species